CAAAACAUUCAGAGAUUGCAGCCUAAGGAAAGAUAUUUCACUACACUUCAAGCUUGAAACUCUUCAAGUAGAUCAAAGCUUUGUGACAAGAUAAAGAAUCCUUGGAACAUAUUGUUUGAUUGCAGUGAAGCAGAAAGAUGGAUAUAGAUCACAUAAAUAAAUGAGUAAAGACCUCCUGGAAACAAGCUCAAUUCUUGUCAUCAAGAGAUCAGUAAUGAAAACAUGACAUUCAGCUACAGAAGGCGAAGACUUCAGUCAAUGUUUCAGUGAAGAAUCAGGACAAGAGAAGAAUAAAUUUGAGUUACACUUAACUAGCAAGUGGAACAUUCACAGGCAAGAAAUUUGCAGGACACAAGAAAAACAAGCUGAAUUUUGACUGCUCAGGGCAGGAGAGGAACUGUUAUAUGAAGACUGGAAAUAUGAAAGGAGGUUCAUACCAUCCAUGGAAAGAACAAGGGUGAAAGAUGAUUGGUAAGAAGUUGG